AGCUCCAAUAGCGUAUAUUAAAGCUGUUGCGGUUAAAAAGCUCGUAGUUGGAUUUCUGUCAAGGACAACUGGUCCGCCCUCCGGGUGAGUACAUAGUUUGGUCUUGGCAUCUUGCUGAAAUCUAUGCUGUACCUGGCUGUAUGGCAUGGUGAUCAGCACUUUCACUUUGAGGAAAUUGGAGUGCUUCAAGCAGGCUCACGCCUUUGAACACAGUAGCAUGGAAUAAUUGGAUUGGGUUUCUGCUCCAUCUUGUUGGUUUAUGGGGCAGAGAUGAGAAUUAAUGGGGAUUGUUGGGGGCAUCUGAAUUUAGCCGUCAGAGGUGAAAUUCUUGGAUCUGCUAAAGACGGACGACUGCGAAAGCGUUCGCCCAGGAUGUUUUCAUUGAUCAAGAACGAAAGUA
rnacentral:rRNA from 1 species